rnacentral:lncRNA from 1 species
CAUAAGGCGCCGCGCUACCGCGGCGCUUAAAACACGAAAUACAGCUUCCCGCAGCGCUUAAUUAUCCCGCGCGGUGCCUCAAUUAUUAGCGCAGCGUCUUAAAUCAGUAAGCGAUUUCAUCCCUGUGAGAUACCUCAGGUAAAUAUCGAUCGGGGAAGUUUAUGAAUACACAGUGUAGCUAGCUGUUUACCGUGUACUGAUAAGGGUUUAAAGACGACACGUGUUGAUGAAAGUCUGUGUUUUCACAAGUUUGCGGUUAAUUGGAGCAGGAAUGAUUGGAUUAUAAUUAGUUAAAGAUUAUAAUUAGUCUCUGCAACGAAAUGGGAUAACAGUUGGUGACGGAAUGCAUGGGCUCUUUCAUCACUCUUCUCCCUUGAAGAUGACCGGGCGGUUAUUGAAUGGGCACAGGCGAAAGCCACCCUUACCACAGAUGAACACUUUGCGCACCAUGGAGUGGAAUGUUGGUAAUCUGUCCGAGUCUCACCCAAACCUGAGCAAAGUCGCUACAAUGGGACUGCUUCUACCAACCUCCACAGCUGAUUGUGAGAGAGGUUUCAGCAGUUGAAUGUGUAAAGACCACCCACCAUUCACCGGUGAG